CUCGCGAUAAGCCGACUGUUGCCAAAGGGAGGAAAGCGGGCCGCCCGCCCGCCAUCAGUGUUUGGUCUAGACAAGACGGCUGCAGUACAGAAGCCACCCCUGGAUCUUCUGAAGAGAUCGAAUUUAGAUAAGGUUCGGGGCCUGCCAAAGCUCUGUGGUUCUGCUCGGGAGAUCUGGAAAAGUGGUUAAGGGCGACGUUUGACCUCGAUGCCGGGUAAUAGAGCUCCUCCGAUACACAGAUGGACGCGAGAGCUUCUGAGACCCGAAUUCAGCCCCCAAAGCCCAGCCCAACCCCCGACUCCUUUCUGAGCUUGUAUCAAAUCACCUUUUGAGCCCCUGACGUUUCUAACAGCCUGUCCAGGAAGGGAGACCUCCCUCGGCGACCAGAAUCAGGAGACCUUCCUCCUACCUGCUAUACAUGCAAAAAGAACAUUCAGGGAGCCUCCCAGAGCAAGGGAGAAUGACCGCAAUCAGUGGAGGGGAGCAACGCAUCCUGGGCCCCUUUGACCAAAAAACGUUUAAAGUGCUUCCUGACUCCGAGUUCUUUCUCUGGAUGUGGAGAACAUCUUUCUCAUAAGUCCCUCAGAAUUGCCCUGGAUCAUUGCAUUGCUGACGAGCCUCUUUCAACAUAGCUAGACUAGUUGUCUAUCAGCACAACGGGGCUGCUCCAUUUGAAAUCAAACAAUCACAAUGCUGAACAGUCAUAGGGAAGAAGUCGAGAAGAAGACAUAAAUGGGCACUGGCAAGCAUCAUUCUGAGAAAGGGGAAGGAAGGGAGAGGAAGUUGGGGAAAGGGAGAGCUUUUCUUGGAAACCCCCUCAGGCUUCAAGAAGAGUGGUGUCAUCCGUGGAACUCUUCCCUUCCCUUCCAUUGGGGAAAGUCAAGACAAAUCAGCGAGCACUCUGCACCAUCAUGGCUCUUCUCGGGAGCCAGAAAUCAAGACUUUGCCUUUCUUUUUCUCCCCAGUUUAGCAGCAGAGCAAACCCCUAGCAAACUACUUAAUCGAUGCUGGACUCCGGAGGAACCUAGAGCUGGGAAUGGCUUUGAAUACUCGAGAAGGGAAUUCGCAUUUUAUACUAUAGGGACAAAAGGUCCAGAACCCUCUGGAGCAGCAGAGAAAUAGAUAGCCGUCAGGGGGUCAGUCUGUGUCUUUUGGGGAGUUUGGAAGAAGCCGGU
rnacentral:lncRNA from 1 species